UUGCUUCUAACAUGGAGCUAACUUCUGCAAUGAUGUGGCCACCACUGGAACAGGAAGCUUGCUGUCAGAAUCUGGAGAAAUUCAUGGGAAGUUUAAUGUUGCCAGUGAGAGAAACACUCUGUGAGCUGUUCUUAGGGUCUGCUGGUGAGAUGGCUCAGGAAGGGCAAACACUGGAGGCAUGAGAAUACCAUCGAAGGGGCGGACUGCAGUGCCAGGCAUUGUGUAGGCCACAGCCACCAGGGCCUCCAUGUUUCUGACCAAAUGCUUCAGUGCCCUUUAGUGAGUGUGUCGCAGACAUGGCAUUUUUGUGUGCGAUCCAGGGUUCAUACCAUCGUGAUUCUUAGCCUUCAUAUUCAUCACACACUGGAAGGGACGCUGCGUGCCAGGCGUUCCGGCCGGCCAUCUGCGGGGGAAGGAGGAGCAUGGCCUGGAGAUGGGGAGCUUCUGGGCAGCAUGGCGCUGAAGCGCUGCUAGCUAAAAAUUACUAAACAACUCAGGUUCAGCCAACUCUAAUUUGUGUUUUAUUUUCACUAAACUUUUUGCUUACUUUAGUGUAGGCAUCCUUGGGGACCCAGCGAGACGGUUGGUUAGAGGCGCUCACCAUGAUGCCAGGACAGAUGAGAGGAGUCCUAGGAGUACUGGGGCCUGGUCAGUCUCCUGAGGCUGAGACUGUUCGUCCACUCCACAGCCGGCCUUCCUCCUUCUUUGUUAACAGAAGUGAACCCUCACAGGGAAGGCAGCACGCCUGGCACCAAGGCAUAAGCUAUGAUUGCUCUAUCCUGGCAACUUGGUUUCUCUUUGCCAGCCAUGGCUGGGCAUUGACCCAGUCCUGCCACUGAGCUCUAGGAGAAGUUGGCUCGGAGAAGGAUUUUCCUCGGCGACCCAUAGCUGCAUGAGAAGCCCUUUGACUCCUCCUGUCUGCCCACGCUGAGUGCUCCAUGACAUGUUCGGCUCUGUGUCACAUUCAUCUACCCACUGCAUUUUCCCCUGAUUAGCUUCCCUCAUGGCGUCAAGAUGGCCACCAGUCACAACUGGGCAACAAGUUUCCUUGCUCAUAUUAAGAAAAAGUAUUGCUUUCUCUUUCCCUGAAGGACCCCCUCAAAACUUUCCCAUGCAUUCACUGGUCCAGGUGGAAAUAUAGGAAGAAUAUUACCAAAACUGAGUUAGAUUAUAUAGGGGAGAAAGGAUGUUCAAAAGUCAAACACAUUAUCAGUUCAACACAAAACUGCCUAAGAUUGGCUGGGCGUGGUGGCUCACCCCUGUAAUCCCAGCACUUUGGGAGGCCGAGGCGGGUGGAUCACGAGGUCAAGAGAUCGAGACCAUCCUGGCUAACCCCAUGAAACCCUGUCUCUACUAAAAAUACAAAAAAUCUGCCAGGGGUGGUGACGGGUGCCUGUAGUCCCAGCUACUUGGGAGGCUGAGGCAGGAGAAUGGCGUUAACCUGGGAGGCAGAGCUUGCAGUGAGCCGAGAUCGCGCCACUGUACUCCAGCCUGGGCGACAGAGUGAGACUCAGUCUCAAAAAAAAAAUACAGCUGCCUAAGAUUUUGGAAGGGCACAGCUUGCAGAAGGAAGGGACUGGGGAGAUACUUUUUCUUUCUCUUCUAAUCAGAAAAAGAAUCUAGAGAGCAAGAGAUGGGAAUUCCUUGCUGACCUGUUUGCUUUUAGGAGAGUGUAAGCCUCAGAAUGAGAGUUUUCUAGAAGAAACAUUGACAAAAUCAGUCAGUCUUCUCCAUGGAUUUUGGAGAUAUAAAACAUUUCUUUACAUGUUUGGAAGUUAUGCAUUUUAUGUCUUUUUAUUUUUAGUGGUCACUUGUACAAACAGUCUUCAAUGUAUAUUUUUCCAGCAAAGGAAAGGAAACAAUUUUAGAUUUUUUAAGAAAAAUAUCUAUUGAUGAUUUUAAGUUAAAAAUAUGCUGGUAACCACUACACAGAGCCACUGAGUGCCUUGCAAAGCCACAUUCUUGAGGCUCUCUUGUGCCACCCAAUGAUCUAGCAGCCAAAGGGAUAACAGCCAUCACUGCAGGGGCCCUUCCCAGUGCUAAGAUGCUGUCCAUUCUGUUGGUCCACACUUGAGUUAUGCCAAGUUUAAUAUAUUUGAAUUAUCACUCCCACACCUUGGUGCAUUUUUGUUGUUUCUGCUGCUAAUGAAGAUGGUGGUUAUCUUAAAAUGUUGUUGUUGUUGUACAGAAAUAUAGUUGAUUUUUUUGUGUAGCAAUCUCAGAGCCAGGAAUCUGGCUAGUAUUCACUUAUAUUCUUUUGGCUUUUCCAUGAAACUAAUGUAUCAUCUACGUAUGAUGACAGUUUUGUUUCCUCCACUCCCAUUGUAAAUAGUGUGAUAAAAUGUAUGAUUGCUAACAAAUAUUGAUUCCUCCCCACCCAGUGGAACAUGAGUGGGCUGGCAUUGGCCAUGUCCAAGGAGGUGUUACCUCCACUUGCAUUCCUGGGCUGAGCUUCUCGAGAUCAUCAGAGAACCACAGGUCCCCACUGGUGCUACCUCCUUCAGCCUGUGUCCCAGAACCAGGAGACACAUGGAGUAGAAACCCUAGGCCCAACUUUCAGCCUGCAUCAAACCCAGAUGUGCUCAGCUCUACAGAUUGGCUUAAAGAUUUUUAUACUCAACCUGGGAUGUUUCUUGUUGAGAGUGGGUAAGGGGGAUGUAAACAUGUGGUCUCUCUGCCCUUUUGGUGCCCAGAACCAGAUUCAUAAUCGACAUACAGCCACAGACAAGGGUUGAGCAUAACUAGGGCUUAGAAAGAACAGACCUGAAUUGAUAUAUGAUGGUUUUAGACUUGUUCAUGCAUAAAAUAAAACUUAGAGAUAAAGGAAAUGUAUGGAUGAAAGUGUGACAAGUGAGAGAGAGUGAGCAGCUGCCUCUCAAGUCUGGCAUUGCUGCUAAGCCCGGAACAGAACCAGAGUGAGAAUGAGAGAAAACAAGGCAAAGAGAAUUGUGUUCUAGGUGAAAGGGAAAAGCAUUCAGCAGCCUAAGAAUAGAUGUAUCUGUCCCAUCAGAGCAUGAAGCAUCUCAGAGAAACGGAAUAACUAUCAGUGAAACCAUCCAAGCUGUUGCCAAAAAGCCAGAUGUUCUUUAUGGAAAUAUUUACCUACCAUAAUUGGGCCUUUUGGAUACAUUAAUGCUAUUUGUAUGGAAGAAAUAAUAUCUAAAUGUAGUGAAUAAAUGUCACACCACACCCUUCUUUGCAGAAAUACUUUUGUGAUUUAGGAACGGGGCUUUAAAAGGACAUUAUAAGCAUCUCUCAAUUUUUAAAAGCACAGAUGUAUCUUAUUAUGGUUUUCAAACUUAAGCUUUGAUUUUGCCAUUGCUUGAGAGCUGGGAAUUUUCAUAAGAAAAUUAGUGACUAAUACCAAAAAAUCUUCUUCAGCUCUACAGAAUGAAGUUAUAAAGGAGUCAGAGUGGACAUACAUAUUCAAUGUUGUGCUUUAAAGUCAAAAGGACAAAUUUACUGAAAACUUUAGUUUGACAGGACAUACAUAGACACUGAGAGCUCGAUGUGCUGGUCAGAUGAUUAUUGAAUCUACUUAGUUCGUUUUUCAGAUGAUGAACAGAGACCCUAGAGGGAUUAGGUGAUUUAUGUAAAAUUAUGUAGUCAGUUCGUGUAAACAUUUAUUACUAGAAAUCAAGAUCUUCUGUUUACAGAUAACCUUAUAUUAAUACACCUUUAUAUUAAUUUAUUUUUUUACAGUCUUAUCUAUUAUCCCAGCAUUGAUUUAUCUGAUUCUAGGAAUGCUGAACAUUAAUUUUAAAAUAAUUCUGUAUGUAAGAGAGUCCUGAGACUCAUUGUCAAUGUUUUCCUUUAUUUGAAGCAUUGAAAGUGCUGUUUUUCCUACCUGAAGUUCUCUUGCCCUUGGGUUCUGUGAAGCCACAUGUUCUUACUUCUUGAUUUCCGGCCACUUCUUGUGUUUCAGUUGGUGCCUCUGCCUGAGCUACUCUAAAUCACAGGCACCACCCAGCCUUGUGUCCUCGAGUGGAUUAUCUUUCUGCUCCCCCAGUUUCUCCUCAGGGGAGCACUCACUGCCAUCCCCUAAUUACCAGCUCUCUGCACUUCCAGCCCCAGCACUGGCCGAGCCUCAGUCUCAGUGCGUCUGCGAGUGAUGCCAUUAUCCUUUAGGAUGACUCCUGUUCUCUGGCCUUGAUUAACACCACCACCGGCAAGCAAGAAACCCCUGCCUCAUCUCCAACUCUUCCCUCUCUCUUCAUACAACUAGCUGAUGUCUUUAGCUAUGUCAAUUCUGUCUCUUAAAUGUAUCUUAUCAUAUCUUCUUUUUAAAAAUCUAUACUACCAGCCUAGUUUAAUGAAUGUCUCAGCCUGAUGACAGAAACAUAAUCUUCAGCCAAUUCCUUUCCCUGUUCAUGUCCUUCAUUGUCAUCAGUGCUCUUUCUAAGAUGCAGGAUGAAAUAUGAUUUUCCUUGCUCGAAACCUUGGAAUGGCAUCCCAUUGCCUGAAGAUGGAAGAACAAACACCUUAUCAGGACUUUCAUUGCUCUCUAUGAGCAGACCACAACCUCUCAUUUCAAUUCAACCUCCAUUAUUUGCCUAUCCUACAACCUCCUUGUACUAGAACUAGAUACUUCCUUCCCUUCAUCCUUCAGGGAUUCAUGUAUUUUACAAUAAACAUUUACUAAGCCCCUAGGCUGGGCGCGGUGGCUCACUCCUGUAAUCCCAGCACUUUGGGAGGCCGAGGCAGGCAGAUCACAAGGUCAGGAGAUCGAGACCAUCCUGGCCAACAUGGAGAAACCUUGUCUCUACUAAAAAUACAAAAAUUAGCUGGGCAUGGUGGUGUGCACCUGUAGUCCCAGCUACUUGGGAGGCUGAGGCAGGAGAAUCGCUUGAACCCAGGAGGCGGAGGUUGCAGUGAGCCGAGGUCACCCCACUGCACGCCAGUCUGGAGAGAGAGUGAGACUCUGUCCCCCCCAAAAAAAAACAACAACAAAAACAAAAACAAAAAAUAGAAAAACAAAAUGAAACAUUUACUAAGCUCCUAACAUUUUCUAGAUAAUUUGGUAGAUACUAUCAGUUCGGAGCUUACUCUCUACUGAAUAUUCUUAAUUUUCUCUGAACAGGUAUUAAUGAAAGAAUCAUGAAAAAACAGAUUAAAACCUACAUGUAAUAUUGAACACAAGCAAGAAGACAGACAAUGAGGAUAAAGUAUGCUAAGUGUUAAGACAAGUUAAGCACAGGAUACUGUGGAUGAUUUCCCACCUGUGUAGGAAACCAGAUGCAGACUGAGAAUCAGGCAGCUGUUGACAGGUCAGUGUAGACUUUCAGGAAGAGAUGGUGACUGAUGACACUCAAAUGCAAGCGUGGAGGAACCAGUCCAGGGAGGGAUGGCAACUGUUGGAGAAACGGCCCAAGAAGAACUCUCUUCUUCCAUGUCUGGAAUAUUCCUGAUGGGAAGCUGGACAUUUAGGAUGAAGCAGCAGGACUGUGUUAAGAGCUAUUCCUCCCAAAAAGCCGUGUCUUCUUCAAUAAUGCUAGCAUUGUAGGUUAAACAUUUAUCAUGUUAAAAUCUGCCAUUCAUCAGGGAUCUGAAGCUGCUGGGAGAAAUGUUUCAAUAUAAAGGAGGGCCCUGAAGUGCACAGACUGUGCUUGAAAAAGUCAAGACAAGAAAGCAAGCAUGCUUUGAAUAUUUCCAAAAGAAGAUGGACAACCAAAGUCUCUAACUUUCAUAACAUUUGAAGACAUUCAAGAUAGAACAAUAACUGAAUACCUUAACUGAUGCAAAUAAUACAAAAUAUUUUUUUGCAUCACUGUGUGUAUAAAACCAGACAUUUAUUAAACACUGCAUCAAAAAUAAAAUAUGUAAAUCAUUUGCUGUUUCAGCUGACCUGAGGAGCCGGUUCAGUACCUCAUGCCCAAGGUGAUGCAAUUGUCUAAUUAAA